UACGUAGGGUGCGAGCGUUAAUCGGAAUUACUGGGCGUAAAGCGUGCGUAGGUGGUUCGUUGUGUCUGUGGUGAAAGCCCCGGGCUUAACCUGGGAACGGCCAUGGAAACUGGCGAGCUGGAGUGUGGCAGAGGGGGGUGGAAUUCCGCGUGUAGCAGUGAAAUGCGUAGAGAUGCGGAGGAACACCGAUGGCGAAGGCAGUGUCCUGGGGAGUACCUGACGCUCAGGUGCGAAAGCCAGGGGAGCGAACGGG
rnacentral:rRNA from 1 species